CUUGCCAUAGUUUCAUUGAAAAGAAUUACUAGAGUAUACAGGCCAAUGGGAAGGGCAGGAGUCCCUUAGGAUAAUCAUAGCUGUUCCCACUACACUCUUCAAGGUCUUUUGUUCUUCCUUUCUCAUUAGAACAUGACAGCAGCUCUGAGGGGUCAGUGUUGGGAGCCAAUGAGAAAGCUGAAUUUAAGUGACUCACCGGGACCCUUGGGACUCUUCAGAUGGAGAACUUGGCUGUGAAGGGACCUAUCAAUUUGGGCUCCUUCCAGAACUGAAAACUGGUUACAAAUAUGAAACAGAUUUAACUACUGGACUUGAACUCCACAUAAGGAAAAAAAAAAAGAAGAAGAUCCUCAAAGAUCCUCAUCAAAGAAUAGAUGCAGUGUGACUGGCAGGGAUAUCAAAGAGGUGCACUAAAAUCUACGUCCUGUCCUUUUGUCCACCGUGCUUUCUCUACUGCAUUUGCCCUCAGUGACCCGAUUGCCUCCAUUGUAACUGAAGGUGGGGGUCCAGCUGCUUGCUGCUCAACAGCCAAUAAGGAGGCAAGCAUUUCUCUUACAAGGACAAAGCAAAAAUGGAAUGAUAUCCUGGAUGAAGUAUGCAUCUCUCCUCACCCACUGAUGAUCUGCUGUAUCUGCUGGGUUUAUUCCUAGCAUGCUCACUCCUCUCUGUGCUGAGGAAAAAAAGAAUUUGGAAGAAACCUACAUGGCCCCCAAGCUCUCAGAAGGUGAGGAAGUUUCUUGUGGUCCUCUGUGCCAAGCUCUGGAUACCCAGGAAGGAGACUGUGAUAAGGCCUUCAUCAUGGAGUCCACAUCAGAAAUUUGUAGACACAGAAGGACAAAGCACUUACUAAGGAGCAUGCUCGCUGUUUUGAAAUGGUUCACAAAGUUUCCAGGUGGAUAAAAACCUGACCCAGUAAACCACACUUUCUAAUGCAUUUUGGCACAAGGCUAAUUGUGCCAGGAGACGGUUUCAUUUUCAGUGUGUACAUCUCAAUCCCAAGCACCCUAACUCCUGCUUCCUCCCUUUCUUCCCUCCUGGUGGCCAUAAGUUUUGUUCUCUAAAAUCUGUAAAUUUGUUUCUGUUUUGUAAACCAGUUCAUUUGUAUCAUUUCUUUUUAGGUUCUGCAUGUAAGUGCUAUCAUAAGGUUUUUCUCAUUGUCUGACUUACUUCACUCAGUAUGUAUACACUGCUAUAAUAAAAGUGGAUAAUCAACAAGGACCUACUGGCUU
ensembl:lncRNA